AGCAGCCGCGGUAAUUCCAGCUCCAAUAGCGUAUAUUAAAGUUGUUGCAGUUAAAAAGCUCGUAGUUGAAUUUCGGGAUCAAGGAAUCGGUCAUGCCUCGGUAUGUACUGGUUUUAUUGGUUCUCACCUUCUAAAGAACCAUGAUGUCAUUCAUUUGAUGUUAUGGGGAAUUAGGACUGUUACCUUGAAAAAAUUAGAGUGUUUAAAGCAGGCUUACGCUUGAAUACAUUAGCAUGGAAUAAUGAAAUAGGACGUUUGAUUCUAUUUUGUUGGUUUCUAGGAUCGACGUAAUGAUUAAUAGGGAUAGUUGGGGGCAUUAGUAUUCAAUUGUCAGAGGUGAAAUUCUUGGAUUUAUUGAAGACUAACUACUGCGAAAAGCAUUUGCCAAGGAUGUUUUCAUUAAUCAAGAACGAAAGUUAGGGGAUCGAAGACGAUCAGAUACCGUCGUAGUCUUAACCAUAAACUAUGCCGACUAGGGAUCGGAUGAUGUUGAUUUUUUAAUGACUCAUUCGGCGCCUUA
rnacentral:rRNA from 1 species